rfam:Camelus ferus unplaced genomic scaffold scaffold515, whole genome shotgun sequence.
GAGGGUAUAGCUCAAGUGGUAGAGUGUAUGCUUAGUAUGCACAAGGUCCUGGGUUCAAUCCCCAGUACCUCCU